rnacentral:rRNA from 1 species
ACUCCUACGGGAGGCAGCAGUGGGGAAUUUUGGACAAUGGGCGAAAGCCUGAUCCAGCAAUGCCGCGUGAGUGAAGAAGGCCUUCGGGUUGUAAAGCUCUUUUGUCAGGGAAGAAACGGUGAAAGCUAAUAUCUUUUGCUAAUGACGGUACCUGAAGAAUAAGCACCGGCUAACUACGUGCCAGCAGCCGCGGUAAUACGUAGGGUGCAAGCGUUAAUCGGAAUUACUGGGCGUAAAGCGUGCGCAGGCGGUUUUGUAAGUCUGAUGUGAAAUCCCCGGGCUCAACCUGGGAAUUGCAUUGGAGACUGCAAGGCUAGAAUCUGGCAGAGGGGGGUAGAAUUCCACGUGUAGCAGUGAAAUGCGUAGAUAUGUGGAGGAACACCGAUGGCGAAGGCAGCCCCCUGGGUCAAGAUUGACGCUCAUGCACGAAAGCGUGGGGAGCAAACAGGAUUAGAAACCCCUGUAGUCCCAUGAU